rnacentral:rRNA from 1 species
UGAGGAAUAUUGGGCAAUGCCCGCAAGGGUGACCCAGCAACGCCGCGUGGAGGAUGAAUGUCGUAAGAUUGUAAACUCCUGUUAGAGGGGAAGAAUAGUACCGGUUGUACCGGUAUAUGACUGUACCCUCAGAGAAAGCCCCGGCUAACUACGUUCCAGCAGCCGCGGUAAUACGUAGGGGGCAAGCGUUGUCCGGAUUUACUGGGUGUAAAGGGCGCGCAGGCGGGAUAAAAAGUCAGUGGUGAAAUCCUACAGCUUAACUGUAGAACUGCCUUUGAUACUUUUAGUCUUGAGUUCGGGAGAGGGAGACGGAAUUCCAGGUGUAGUGGUGAAAUACGUAGAUAUCUGGAAGAACACCAGUUGCGAAGGCGGUCUCUUGGUCCGACACUGACGCUGAGGCGCGAAAGCGUGGGGAGCAAACA